CACGUAGGCGGAUUGUUAAGUCAGGGGUGAAAUCCUGGAGCUCAACUCCAGAACUGCCUUUGAUACUGGCGAUCUCGAGUCCGGGAGAGGUGAGUGGAACUGCGAGUGUAGAGGUGAAAUUCGUAGAUAUUCGCAAGAACACCAGUGGCGAAGGCGGCUCACUGGCCCAGUACUGACGCUGAGGUGCGAAAGCGUGGGAGCAAACA
rnacentral:rRNA from 1 species